rnacentral:lncRNA from 1 species
CCACAGUAAUGUAACAGCUAUUGCUUGUUCUGGGUUAACAACUGAACUAGCUGUGAAAAACUACCUAAGUAGGAAAAUCUGGAAGAAAAUACUGAUCUUUAAAAAACACUAUAUUAUCUUGUAGGUAUACUGAUCCCUCAUUGCAUGUACUGCUCUUCAUCUGUUUUAAUCCUUAUGUUGAAAAAUAACCUGGACUUUCAGCAAUCCAGUUUAUCUUCAUUAAAAAGCUAACCCACUGUUCCUGAGGUUCUGCACCCAGAAACCUUUGCCCUGUGUAUCAUUAGACUGUCCCAUCUCCUGAAGUUCCCCAAUUUCACAGCUGGUUGUCCUGAUGGCAAUGCACUGAACAGGCUGGCCAGCCCUCUCUCCCUUGCGCCUAGAGAACGUCCUGCCAGAAGUGAAUCAAGGCUGCUCUCUGUUGGCCUGCAGCACUCUUUCUUGGAGCAUGAUGCGGUGGAGGAAGCCCCCACGCCUCAUCUGGCAGGUCAGCAUGGGAUCUGGCGCAUGGCCUUGCGGGAGGAUGGAGAGCCCCAGGGGAGCCCACCCGGGCCCUGCUAGACCAUACCAUGAGCAAGACAUGGCUGCAAGCAUGCUCAGUAGUGCGUUAUUGCCUGCAAAGCAGUGGGAAGAUCAAACAGCUUUUCAGACAGCUGCUCAACAUUGGUCACUGCCUUACAAGAACAAUGAACCCAUCAGUGCAGCUGAACAAGACUCUACAUCACCCUACGGAUGCAGAGGUGCCCACCUGAUGAUGUGGGAAACCCAGCAGCAGUCGUUACUGCGCAGCUGGAUGUGUUUGGUACGUGGCUGCCUCGGGCUCCCAUGA